rnacentral:rRNA from 1 species
GGAUGAACGCUGGCGGCGUGCCUAAUACAUGCAAGUCGAACGCACAGCGAAAGGUGCUUGCACCUUUCAAGUGAGUGGCGAACGGGUGAGUAACACGUGGACAACCUGCCUCAAGGCUGGGGAUAACAUUUGGAAACAGAUGCUAAUACCGAAUAAAACUUAGUGUCGCAUGACACAAAGUUAAAAGGCGCUUCGGCGUCACCUAGAGAUGGAUCCGCGGUGCAUUAGUUAGUUGGUGGGGUAAAGGCCUACCAAGACAAUGAUGCAUAGCCGAGUUGAGAGACUGAUCGGCCACAUUGGGACUGAGACACGGCCCAAACUCCUACGGGAGGCUGCAGUAGGGAAUCUUCCACAAUGGGCGAAAGCCUGAUGGAGCAACGCCGCGUGUGUGAUGAAGGCUUUCGGGUCGUAAAGCACUGUUGUAUGGGAAGAACAGCUAGAAUAGGAAAUGAUUUUAGUUUGACGGUACCAUACCAGAAAGGGACGGCUAAAUACGUGCCAGCAGCCGCGGUAAUACGUAUGUCCCGAGCGUUAUCCGGAUUUAUUGGGCGUAAAGCGAGCGCAGACGGUUUAUUAAGUCUGAUGUGAAAGCCCGGAGCUCAACUCCGGAAUGGCAUUGGAAACUGGUUAACUUGAGUGCAGUAGAGGUAAGUGGAACUCCAUGUGUAGCGGUGGAAUGCGUAGAUAUAUGGAAGAACACCAGUGGCGAAGGCGGCUUACUGGACUGCAACUGACGUUGAGGCUCGAAAGUGUGGGUAGCAAACA